rnacentral:tRNA from 1 species
GACUGCGUAGCUCAGUUGGCAGAGCAUUGGGCUAGUACUCCAAAGGUCAUAGGUUCGAAUCCCACCGUGGCCA